GUAAAGCACUUUCAGUAGGGAGGAAGGUAGUGUAGUUAACACCUGCAUUAUUUGACGUUACCUACACGAAGAAGCACCGGCUAACUCCGUGCCAGCAGCCGCGGUAAUACGGAGGGUGCGAGCGUUAAUCGGAAUUACUGGGCGUAAAGCGCAUGCAGGCGGCCUCGUUAAGUCAGAUGUGAAAGCCCGGGGCGUUAACCUCGGAAUUGCAUUUGAAACUGGCAGGCUAGAGUCUUGUAGAGGGGGUAGGAAUUUCAGGUGUAGCGGUGAAAUAGCGUAGAGAUCUGAAGGAAUACCAGUGGCGAAGGCGGCCCCCUCGGACAAAGACUGACGCUCAGAUGCGAAAGCGUGGGGAGCAAACAGGAUUAGAUACCCUGGUAG
rnacentral:rRNA from 1 species